CGUAGGUCCCGAGCGUUAUCCGGAUUUAUUGGGGCGUAAAGCGAGCGCAGGCGGUUAGAUAAGUCUGAAGUUAAAGGCUGUGGCUUAACCAUAGUACGCUUUGGAAACUGUUUAACUUGAGUGCAAGAGGGGAGAGUGGAAUUCCAUGUGUAGCGGUGAAAUGCGUAGAUAUAUGGAGGAACACCGGUGGCGAAAGCGGCUCUCUGGCUUGUAACUGACGCUGAGGCUCGAAAGCGUGGGGAGCAAACAGGAUU
rnacentral:rRNA from 1 species